UACGGAGGGUGCAAGCGUUAAUCGGAUUUAUUGGGCGUAAAGGGGGCGUAGGCGGGAAAGAAAGUCAAACGUGAAAUUUCGGGGCUCAACCUCGAAGCUGCAUUUGAAACUUCUUUUCUUGAGGAUAGGCGGAGAAAACGGAAUUCCACAAGUAGCGGUGAAAUGCGUAGAUAUGUGGAAGAACACCUGUGGCGAAAGCGGUUUUCUAGCUUAUUCCUGACGCUGAGGCCCGAAAGCUAGGGGAGCAAACAGG
rnacentral:rRNA from 1 species